GGUCGGGAGUGCGAAGGUCAUACAACACCCGAAAGGGAAAAACCUUCCGCCGUACCUUUGGACGGUUUGAGAGCUCCUGACCUUUUUUAU
rnacentral:ncRNA from 1 species